AGUGAACGCUGGCGGUAGGCCUAACACAUGCAAGUCGAACGGCAGCACAGUAAGAGCUUGCUCUUACGGGUGGCGAGUGGCGGACGGGUGAGGAAUACAUCGGAAUCUACUUUUUCGUGGGGGAUAACGUAGGGAAACUUACGCUAAUACCGCAUACGACCUACGGGUGAAAGCAGGGGAUCUUCGGACCUUGCGCGAUUGAAUGAGCCGAUGUCGGAUUAGCUAGUUGGCGGGGUAAAGGCCCACCAAGGCGACGAUCCGUAGCUGGUCUGAGAGGAUGAUCAGCCACACUGGAACUGAGACACGGUCCAGACCCCUACGGGAGGCAGCAGUGGGGAAUAUUGGACAAUGGGCGCAAGCCUGAUCCAGCCAUACCGCGUGGGUGAAGAAGGCCUUCGGGUUGUAAGCCCUUUUGUUGGGAAAGAAAAGCAGCAGGUUAAUACCCCGCUGUUCUGACGGUACCCAAAGAAUAAGCACCGGCUAACUUCGUG
rnacentral:rRNA from 1 species